rnacentral:rRNA from 1 species
UGGGGAAUAUUGCGCAAUGGGGGAAACCCUGACGCAGCAACGCCGCGUGAAUGAUGAAGGCCUUAGGGUUGUAAAGUUCUGUCUUCUGGGACGAUAAUGACGGUACCAGAGGAGGAAGCCACGGCUAACUACGUGCCAGCAGCCGCGGUAAUACGUAGGUGGCAAGCGUUGUCCGGAUUUACUGGGCGUAAAGGAUGCGUAGGCGGAUAUUUAAGUCAGAUGUGAAAUGCCCGGGCUCAACUUGGGUGCUGCAUUUGAAACUGAAUAUCUAGAGUGCGGGAGAGGUAAGUAGAAUUCCUAGUGUAGCGGUGAAAUGCGUAGAGAUUAGGAAGAAUACCAGUGGCGAAGGCGACUUACUGGACCGUAACUGACGCUGAGGCAUGAAAGCGUGGGGAGCAAACA